rnacentral:rRNA from 1 species
UUAGGCUAACCACUUCUGGUGCAGUCCACUCCCAUGGUGUGACGGGCGGUGUGUACAAGGCCCGGGAACGUAUUCACCGUGCCAUUCUGAUGCACGAUUACUAGCGAUUCCGACUUCACGGAGUCGAGUUGCAGACUCCGAUCCGGACUGAGACCGGCUUUAUGAGAUUAGCUCCACGUCGCCGCUUUGCAACCCAUUGUACCGGCCAUUGUAGCACGUGUGUAGCCCUACCCGUAAGGGCCAUGAUGACUUGACGUCGUCCCCACCUUCCUCCGGUUUGUCACCGGCAGUCUCCCUAGAGUUCCCGACCGAAUCGCUGGCAAAUAGGGACAAGGGUUGCGCUCGUUACGGGACUUAACCCAACAUUUCACAACACGAGCUGACGACAGCCAUGCAGCACCUGUCUGUGCGCUCCCGAAGGCACCAAUCCAUCUCUGGAAAGUUCGCACGAUGUCAAGGGUAGGUAAGGUUCUUCGCGUUGCAUCGAAUUAAACCACAUGCUCCACCGCUUGUGCGGGCCCCCGUCAAUUCAUUUGAGUUUUAACCUUGCGGCCGUACUCCCCAGGCGGUCGACUUAGUGCGUUAACUGCGCCACAAAGGUCUCGAGGACCCCAACGGCUAGUCGACAUCGUUUACGGCGUGGACUACCAGGGUAUCUAAUCCUGUUUGCUACCCACGCUUUCGUACCUCAGCGUCAGUGUCAGUCCAGAAGGCCGCCUUCGCCACUGGUAUUCCUCCCGAUCUCUACGCAUUUCACCGCUACACCGGGAAUUCUACCUUCCUCUCCUGCACUCUAGCCUAACAGUUCCGGAUGCCGUUCCCAGGUUGAGCCCGGGGCUUUCACAACCGGCUUAUCAAGCCGCCUACGCACGCUUUACGCCCAGUAAUUCCG